rnacentral:rRNA from 1 species
UACGGAGGGUGCUAGCGUUGUUCGGAAUCACUGGGCGUAAAGAGCGUGUAGGCGGCCCGAUAAGUCCGCUGUGAAAGUCCAGGGCUCAACCCUGGGAUGCCGGUGGAUACUGUCGGGCUCGAGUCCGGAAGAGGAGUGUGGAAUUCCUGGUGUAGCGGUGAAAUGCGCAGAUAUCAGGAGGAACACCAAUGGCGAAGGCAGCACUCUGGGACGGUACUGACGCUGAGACGCGAAAGCGUGGGGAGCGAACAGG